AUGGCGGGUAGAUUAGUUCUGUCGGUGGUGGUGACUCUGCUAGCUGCGGCCGGGGCAGCCGCGGCGGAGUCGUCGUGCCCGGCGACGCCGCCGGACGCGGGGGCGACGCUGCAGGUGUCGCACGCGUUCGGGCCGUGCUCGCCGCUGGGAAACGCGGCCGCAGCGCCGUCGUGGGCGGGGUUCCUCGCGGACCAGUCCUCCCGGGACGCGUCGCGGCUGCUGUACCUCGACUCCCUCGCCGUGGCCGGGCGCGCGUACGCGCCGAUCGCGUCCGGGCGGCAGCUGCUGCAGACGCCGACGUACGUGGUGCGCGCGCGCCUCGGCACCCCGCCGCAGCAGCUCCUGCUCGCCGUCGACACCAGCAACGACGCCGCGUGGAUCCCCUGCUCCGGCUGCGCGGGCUGCCCCACCACCACGCCCUUCAAGCCAGCCGCGUCCACCUCGUACCGCGCCGUGCCGUGCGGCUCGCCGGCGUGCUCGCGGGCGCCGAACCCGUCCUGCUCGCUCAACACCAAGUCCUGCGGGUUCAGCCUCACCUACGCCGACUCCUCGCUGGAGGCCGCGCUGUCCCAGGACUCCCUCGCCGUCGCCAACGACGUCGUGAAGAGCUACACCUUCGGAUGUCUCCAGAAGGCCACCGGCACGGCGGCGCCGCCGCAGGGCCUCCUCGGGCUCGGCCGCGGGCCGCUGUCGUUCCUGUCGCAGACCAAGGACAUGUACGAGGGCACCUUCUCCUACUGCCUCCCGAGCUUCAAGUCCCUCAACUUCUCCGGCACGCUCAGGCUCGGCCGCAAGGGCCAACCGCUGCGCAUCAAGACGACGCCGCUGCUCGUCAACCCGCACCGCUCCUCGCUCUACUACGUGGGCAUGACCGGCAUCCGCGUGGGCAAGAAGGUGGUGCCCAUCCCGCCCUCCGCGCUGGCGUUCGACCCGGCGACGGGCGCCGGCACGGUGCUCGACUCCGGGACGAUGUUCACCAGGCUGGUGGCGCCGGCGUACGUGGCGGUGCGCGACGAGGUCCGCCACCGCAUCCGCGGCGCCCCGCUCUCCUCCCUCGGCGGGUUCGACACGUGCUACAACACGACGGUGAAGUGGCCGCCGGUCACGUUCAUGUUCACCGGCAUGCAGGUGACGCUGCCGGCGGACAACCUGGUGAUCCACAGCACGUACGGCACCACCAGCUGCCUGGCCAUGGCGGCGGCCCCCGACGGCGUGAACACGGUGCUCAACGUCAUCGCGAGCAUGCAGCAGCAGAACCACCGCGUCCUGUUCGACGUGCCCAACGGCCGCGUCGGCUUCGCCCGCGAGCAGUGCACCGCGGCUUGA
rnacentral:rRNA from 1 species